rnacentral:lncRNA from 1 species
CUGAAGACUAGUUGCAGUAAGUUGUUUGAGGGUUUGUCCGAGUCUUAAGGCACGAUGAGUUGAGUUGUUAGAGUCAAAUAAGAUCUCUUGAGAUCAUGGAGUAGUUGCAGAUUUUUAGGAGUUUAAGUUGAACAUAAGGUCAUAUAUAAGACCAUCGUUUGUUUCUGUUUCAUUGUACGAUUUUCUCUACAUUCUCAGUUUAUAAAGUACUAUUCAGCUUGAUUUCUUGAUCCUUAAGUAACAAGUGGUAUCAGAGCCACUAAAUCCAAACUGAAUAGUAGAAAAGUGAGCAAGUGAAUCAAAGAAAGAAUGAGUGAGAAGGAGUUUAACAUACCAAAGUUUGAUGGAGAUUAUGAGCAUUGGGCAAUGCUCAUGGAGAACCUGUUGAGAUCCAAGGAGUGGUGGGAUCUCGUUGAAACCGGAGUCAUAGCUGCGAAGAGGAACGUAGUGCUAACUGGAGCUCAACGCACAGAACAAGCAGAACAGAAGCUCAAAGACCUGAAGGUGAAGAACUACCUGUUUGCCUCCAUUGACAAAGCAAUCCUGAAAACUAUCGUGAAGAAGGAUACCUCGAAGGACAUCUGGGAGUCAAUGAAAAACAAAUAUCAGGGGAACAAGAGAGUGCAGAGCUCUCAGUUACAGAGAAUGCGGAGAAACUUUGAAGUUCUGGAGAUGAAGGAAGAAGACACAAUUACGGAGUACUUUUCCCGAGUGAUGGUGGUGGCCAAUGAUAUGAGAAACUUGGGAGAAGAUGUACCUGAUGCUAAGGUGGUGGAGAAGAUACUUCGUACGUUGGUGGAGAAAUUUACCUAUGUCGUAUGUGCCAUAGAAGAAUCAAAGGACAUAACGGCGAUGACGGUAGACGAGUUGCAAAGCUCAUUGCUAGUUCAUGAACAGAAUCUGAGCAAACAUAUCAGAGAAGAUCAUGCUCUGAAAAUGGAAGGAGGACGAGGAGGCUAUGGAUACCGAGGACGAGGUGGUUCUAGAGGAGGAAGAGGAGGACGAGGCAGAGGAAGCUUCAAUAAAGACAAUAUUGAAUGCUACAAGUGCCACAAGAUGGGGCACUUUAAGAAUGAAUGUCCAGAAUGGGAUAGAAAUGCCAACUAUGCUGAGCUCGAGGAGGACGUGUUGUUGAUGGCUCAGACAGAUCUAGCUGGCAAUGAGGAACACGUGUGGUAUCUAGACUCGGGAUGUAGUAACCACAUGUGUGGUGUGAGGGAAUGGUUUGUCAGCUUUGAUGCCUCGUUCCAUCAGAGCGUUAAGUUGGGAGACAACAGAAGGAUGGAAGUUGAAGGAAAAGGAAAUUUGAGGAUAGAGAUCGAUGGCUGCGUACAGGUAAUCACCUCUGUUUACUUUGUACCGGGACUCAAGAACAACCUCAUGAGCGUGGGACAGUUGCAAGAAAAGGGUCUGAAGAUUGUGAUAGAAGAAGGUACGUGUGAAGUGUGGCACAAGCAACAAAGAAGACUGAUCAUGCGAUCUCUCAUGUCAAAAAACCGGAUGUUUGUGAUCUUGGCUAAGAUUAGAGAGCCAAAGAAGGAGAUGGACGUGAACAACCUGAUGAGCUCAACAGAAGACACUGAUGAAGUCUGGCACUGCAGGUUUGGGCAUCUAAACCAGAACAGUCUUGCGACACUAGCCAACAAGGAGAUGGUGACGGGUCUGCCGAAGAUCAAAAACGCAGAAGCUGUAUGUGAAACGUGCAUGAAGGGGAAACAGAUCCGCACCAACAUUCCAAAAAGAAGUUUGUGGAAAGCAGGGAGAGUUCUGGAGCUGGUUCACACCGACAUAUGUGGGCCAAUAACACCCAUCUCUGAGAGUGGAAAGAGAUACAUCAUCAACUUCAUAGAUGAUUACAGUCGCAAGUGUUGGAGCUAUUUCUUGGUGGAGAAGUCUGAAGCUUUCAAAACCUUCAGAGACUUCAAAGCAGCUUCAGAGAGAGAAAGCGGUGAGAUGCUUGUAUGCUUGAGGUCUGACAGAGGAGGUGAGUUCAACUCCAAAGCUUUCCAAGACUACUGUGUAGAGAAGGGGAUCAAGCGCCAGCUCACAGCCGCUUACACGCCGCAGCAGAACGGCGUGGCAGAGAGGAAGAACCGAAGCAUUAUGAACAUGGUUAGGUGUAUGUUGUUUGGAAUGGGAGUUCCACUGCGUUUCUGGCCAGAAGCUGCACAAUAUGCUGUCCAUAUUCUCAACCGAAGCCCCACUGCAAUAUUGGAGAACAUUACACCUGCAGAGAAAUGGGGUAAGAACAAACCUUCAGUAGAUCAUCUUCGAAUCUUUGGCUGUGUUGCAUUUGCGAUGAUACCAUAUGAGAGACGUGUCAAGCUUGAUGAAAAGAGCAUUAAGUGUGUGAUGUUUGGCGUGAGAAAGGAGUCCAAAGCUUACCGUCUCUACGAUCCGGUGCUUAAGAGAAUCAUUAUCUCUAAAGAUGUGAAGUUCGAUGAGACUAAGAGAUGGGACUGGGAGGAGGUUGUGGAAAACAACGAGUUCAUCGAAGUAGCUGAGGAAGAAGUGGGAGAGAAUCCUAAUGCUACAGAAGCUGAAGAGGAACAUGAAGAAGGAGACAAUGAGCCUGAAGCUGAACCUGAAGCCGUCACAGUCACAAACCCAGUCGCAGCUCCCGCGCCAACACAAACCGCAACACCAAACACACAUGAAGGAAGAGUGGGAAGAAGUAAGCAAAGGCCAGCGUGGAUGAGUGACUAUGAUUGUGAGGGAAUGGGAAUGCAAAUGGAGGAAGACAGUGAGGAAGUGCUUGCACUAUACAUAUCAGGAGAUGAUCCUGAAACCUUUGAAGAAGCUAAUCAACAUGACAAGUGGAGGGUGGCUAUGAAGAAGGAGAUGAGUUCGAUAGAAGAGAAUGAUACUUGGGAACUUGUCAGCUUACCAGAAGGAGGAAAGGUAAUAGGAGUAAAGUGGGUUUUUAAAACAAAACUCAAUGAGAAGGGAAAAGUUGACAAGUUCAAGGCAAGAUUGGUUGCUAAGGGGUUUCACCAGACUCACGGUGUGGACUUUCAUGAAGUCUUUGCUCCGGUGGCGAGAUGGGACACGAUCAGGUUGAUUCUAGGAGUAUCAGCUCAAAGAGGUUGGGAGGUGUAUCAACUUGACGUGAAAAGCGCCUUCCUACAUGGAGAAUUGAGUGAAGACGUCUAUGUGGAGCAACCAAAGGGCUUUGAAUCAAGGGAGGACAGUGACAAGGUUUACAAGCUCAAGAAGGCACUCUAUGGUCUGAGACAAGCACCAAGAGCAUGGUACAGCAAAAUUGAGGGAUAUUUCACAAGAGAAGGCUUCACCAAGUGCUUCUGCGAGCAUACGUUGUUUGUGAAGGUAAAAGGAGAUGAUGUCCUGAUAGUGAGUCUGUACGUCGACGAUCUCAUCUACGCAAGCAGCUCGGCUACUAUGCUUGAGGACUUCAAGGUGUCUAUGAUGAGUGAGUUUUCUAUGACUGAUCUUGGAAGAAUGAAGUACUUUCUUGGAGUAUAAGUAACACAAGAUGAAACUGGAAUUUUCAUCAGUCAAAAGAAGUAUGCUAAUGAAGUGUUGAGCCGUUUUGGGAUGGAAGGAUGCAAUGCAGUGAGAAUCCCUAUGGUACCUGGUUGCAAGUUAACAAGAGAAGGAAGUGGAGCAAUGGUGGAUGCGACAAUGUUCAAACAACUGGUUGGAAGCUUGAGGUACUUAACAGCCACAAGGCCAGACCUGAUUUACUCGGUAAAUCUUGUUAGCAGAUACAUGGAGGCUCCAACGGAGCAACAUCUGCUAGCAGCUAAGAGGAUAAUGAGGUAUGUGCAAGGUACUAAAGACUAUGGAAUACAGUAUAAGCGUGGAGGAGAAGGAGAGCUGGUUGGAUUUGUUGACAGCGACUAUGCAGGGGAUGAAGAUGAUAGAAAGAGUACUUCAGGCUACGUGUUCUUAUAUGGAGAAGGGGCAGUGUCGUGGGCAAGUAAGAAGCAGCCAAUUGUGACUCUCUCAACAACUGAAGCUGAGUAUGUCUCUGCAGCAAACGGAGCGUGUCAAGCAGUGUGGUUAAGAAAUGUUCUUAAGAGUAUUGGGAGUGAUCAAAGGGAGAAGACGGUUCUGUUCUGCGACAAUAGCUCAACCAUCAAGUUAUCAAAGAAUGCAGUUCUACAUGGGAGAAGUAAGCACAUUCAAGUAAGGUACCAUUUCAUACGUGAGCUAGUAAGUGAUGAAGUAAUUGAGUUGGAGUAUUGUUCCACACAAGAUCAAGUUGCGGACAUAAUGACUAAGCCAGUUAAACGUGAAGUGUUCGAGAAGCUAAGGGGGUACAUGGGAGUUCAGUUGAAGAAUGAGUAAACUGGAAGAUGGCAUUUCCAGUUUAGGGGAGGAAUUGAAGACUAGUUGCAGUAAGUUGUUUGAGGGUUUGUCCGAGUCUUAAGGCACGAUGAGUUGAGUUGUUAGAGUCAAAUAAGAUCUCUUGAGAUCAUGGAGUAGUUGCAGAUUUUUAGGAGUUUAAGUUGAACAUAAGGUCAUAUAUAAGACCAUCGUUUGUUUCUGUUUCAUUGUACGAUUUUCUCUACAUUCUCAGUUUAUAAAGUACUAUUCAGCUUGAUUUCUUGAUCCUUAAGUAACAGA